GAGUUUGAUCCUGGCUCAGGAUGAACGCUAGCGACAGGCUUAACACAUGCAAGUCGAGGGGCAGCGGGGGUAGCAAUACCCGCCGGCGACCGGCGCACGGGUGAGUAACGCGUAUGCAACUUACCUAUCAGAGGGGGAUAACCCGGCGAAAGUCGGACUAAUACCGCAUGAAGCAGGGGCCCCGCAUGGGGAUAUUUGCUAAAGAUUCAUCGCUGAUAGAUAGGCAUGCGUUCCAUUAGGCAGUUGGCGGGGUAACGGCCCACCAAACCGACGAUGGAUAGGGGUUCUGAGAGGAAGGUCCCCCACAUUGGUACUGAGACACGGACCAAACUCCUACGGGGGGCAGCAGUGAGGAAUAUUGGUCAAUGGGCGCGAGCCUGAACCAGCCAAGUCGCGUGAGGGAUGAAGGUUCUAUGGAUCGUAAACCUCUUUUAUAAGGGAAUAAAGUGUGGGACGUGUCCUAUUUUGUAUGUACCUUAUGAAUAAGGAUCGGCUAACUCCGUGCCAGCAGCCGCGGUAAUACGGAGGAUCCGAGCGUUAUCCGGAUUUAUUGGGUUUAAAGGGUGCGUAGGCGGCCUUUUAAGUCAGCGGUGAAAGUCUGUGGCUCAACCAUAGAAUUGCCGUUGAAACUGGGGGGCUUGAGUAUGUUUGAGGCAGGCGGAAUGCGUGGUGUAGCGGUGAAAUGCUUAGAUAUCACGCAGAACCCCGAUUGCGAAGGCAGCCUGCCAAGCCAUGACUGACGCUGAUGCACGAAAGCGUGGGGAUCAAACAGGAUUAGAUACCCUGGUAGUCCACGCAGUAAACGAUGAUCACUAGCUGUUUGCGAUACAGUGUAAGCGGCACAGCGAAAGCGUUAAGUGAUCCACCUGGGGAGUACGCCGGCAACGGUGAAACUCAAAGGAAUUGACGG
rnacentral:rRNA from 1 species